GUAGGGUGCGAGCGUUAUCCGGAAUCAUUGGGCGUAAAGAGCUCGUAGGCGGUUCAGCAAGUCGGCUGUGAAAGUCCGGGGCUCAACCCCGGAAUUGCAGUCGAUACUGCUGUGACUUGAGUCCGGUAGAGGAGAAUGGAAUUCCCGGUGUAGCGGUGGAAUGCGCAGAUAUCGGGAGGAACACCAGUAGCGAAGGCGGUUCUCUGGGCCGGCACUGACGCUGAGGAGCGAAAGCGUGGGGAGCAAACAGGAUUAGAUACCCUGGUAGUCCACGCCGUAAACGUUGGAUACUAGGUGUGGCGGUCUACCAACGACUGCCGUGCCGAAGCUAACGCAUUAAGUAUCCCGCCUGGGGAGUACGGCCGCAAGGCUA
rnacentral:rRNA from 1 species